GGAUGGCGUCCCGGUCCCGCUGCCCGUGUCGGGAGCGGGUCCCCAAGUCCCGCCGUUAAGCGCACGGCUCCCCGCUCCUCACCUGGAUCCAUCCUGGGUGGAUCCAGCACCUUGGCCCGGGAUCAGCUCCCGGGGGAUUCCCCAGCCUGCUGUCCCUGGGCGAUCCCCUUCCUCCUAGGAUGGGAGCUCCUGCCUGACCCGGGUCUCCCCUCGCAACCUGCGGACCUCGGAUGGAUUCCCGGACCUGGGACCCCAAGCCUGUCCUCCUUCCUGGGGAUCCCUUUGCUCCUGGGGCUCACCCUCCCGAUCCCCAUACAGGGUGGGCUCUGGCUCUCUCUGGGAACCCGAACCCCAGCCCCGGGCGCCGCCCCCGAGUCCUCCGACUUGGCUUUGGCCUCCAUCCCUUUACCUCCAGGGUGGGGGGUCUCCCGGGGCGCGCGGAACCGGGUGGCGCCCUGCGGAGAGAUUUGUCGUAAAGCGGGGUGCUAGGCAUUUUGGGUGCUUUGUCUGUGAACGGCCCUAGGAACAGGGAAACUGAGGCACGCUCCGCCAGCUUAGCCCUGCCUGGCCGUGUAGGGGCCCUGCUGGUUCUCCAGCUGAGCGUCCCAGGGCGGUGCUAUUUUGGGCUCUGCGAAGGGGCAUGUUAGCUUUCGGGUGGCGAGACCUGCUGUGGAGGCGCCGGUGUUCGGAAACGAGGAGGAGGAACCGUGGAGGCGCCACCGGAAGGCUGGCCGCUGCUCAUUCACUGUAGAGCUGGUGGAAAUGCCGGGCUGGGGGGCGCCAUGGCCUUACUCCCCUCUGGGGCUCCACCGUCUAACAAUGGAUGGAGUCUCCAUACCCUCACUGCCCACUCACCCAUCUCAUUCCUCCCCUAGUCCCAAAGGGUAAAGGAGGCAACAAAUGCACAGAAGAGUUGACAUGGUCUGGGCCACCAGGAAGGGGAUCAGCUUGAAGACUUGGAUUGACUUCUGAAUAUAUUGCUUAUCAGUCAGGGUGUUGAAUGCCUGGCACUGUUCCCCCAGUGGGAACUCCAUAUCGGUGUGUCUAAUGGCAAAAUGGAACCAUAGUGUUCCGACUUUAGAACCUGAUGUCAGAAAUGAAGACCGGAGGGGCUUUUAGAGAGAAUGUAACAUGCACUCAGGCAUGAUCAGUGAAGCCCUGUGCAUGCGGUUUGUUUGAUUUGGUUUUACUUCUCUACACGUCUGUGCUCUUCCUGUUUUCAGAGAACAGUAGCAAUAUUCUGUGAAAUUGCCUCUUCCUUAUUUGAUUAAGAGUUUGUCUUUCUUACGUAUUCCUUUGGAUUCUCUAAAAAGAAAAAAAAAAAAAAGACCCUGUUCAAUUAUUUGUUGCACAAAUGUUAAAACAGUGUUACAACAACAACAACAAAAAACUUCAUUUAGGAUGCUACCCUCUCAGCUUAUCGAACUGACUUUUUAAUUAUUUUUGCUGGACACUGAUCCAUUCCUUAUUAGACAGUUGUAAUGUGAUUUUUGCGCUCUCUAUUAUUAACUUAAAAACUAAAAAUACAGGCAUUUUCUUUUGGUGUGGCAUAGACUGUAAUUUUCUUGGGGGCUUGUGUUUUGCUCAGUGGAUAUUUAACAGUUUCUUUCUUGAUGACAUCUAGACCCACCCUGAUUUUCUUUGAAGAUUUGUGUGAUCUCAUAAUUUCCUGGUUCUCUAUCAUAGGUUAGGUUGGAAACAUAUUUCUAAGCAUCAAUUUUAACUUGGAAAUAAAGCCUAUAAACAAAAAGUAA